CACUGGAUGUGGCUUUUGGAGCAUAAAGAUCGCCCACCUCUCACUCCAUGCACAGAGCCCAAGGAGGCCACAGCUGAUCAUGCUUUGCACUUCUACAGCGCCUUUUGUCCAAAGAUGUCAAAGUGCUUCAUGCAAACAUCAAAUAAGCCUUGCAACGUUUCUACAAGGUCGGGCCACCGACAGGCCGCCGACAGGAGAGGGGGUAAAAGAAGCCAACGACGGGGGUAGUAAAAGGUGAAGCUGCCUUGGGGCUGGCGAUUUAAAAAUCUGAUGGAUAAAAUGUUGCACAAAGCAAGGUCACCCAGCCAAUCUGUGGCGGAGCUGGGACUAGUACCCAUGCAUCUGGAUUCCCACGCUGCUACUCUAACCCCUUGACAACACCAUACCAAUGGGUCACCUCUUCCUGAAGCAGUCUUUAAAACACAUCCAUAUUUGUUUGCUCCAUGGCCCAAAGCCUCCAGACCAGAUGACAAUAUUUUCCUUGGCUGAAUAAACUUGGGCAGCCUUUGCUUUAUACAAUAUGACAAUUUUAGUGUCCCAUUAUUGGUGCUCAGAUACUGCGGGAAUGGGAACCUUAGAAAAACACAAGCUAGACUCUUUUCUGUAGAGGCCCAUUUGUUUGUCUGAUUUAAAGCUUGCUUUCCAUAUUUUUUUCUAUCUCUUUGU